rnacentral:rRNA from 1 species
GACGAACGCUGGCGGCGUGCCUAAUACAUGCAAGUAGAACGCUGAAGAAAGGAGCUUGCUUCUUUUGGAUGAGUUGCGAACGGGUGAGUAACGCGUAGGUAACCUGCCUUGUAGCGGGGGAUAACUAUUGGAAACGAUAGCUAAUACCGCAUAACAGCUUCUGACACAUGUUAGAAGCUUGAAAGAUGCAAUUGCAUCACUACGUGAUGGACCUGGGUUGUAUUAGCUAGUAGGUAGGGUAACGGCCUACCUAGGCGACGAUACAUAGCCGACCUGAGAGGGUGAUCGGCCACACUGGGACUGAGACACGGCCCAGACUCCUACGGGAGGCAGCAGUAGGGAAUCUUCGGCAAUGGGGGCAACCCUGACCGAGCAACGCCGCGUGAGUGAAGAAGGUUUUCGGAUCGUAAAGCUCUGUUGUAAGAGAAGAACGUGUGUGAGAGUGGAAAGUUCACACAGUGACGGUAACUUACCAGAAAGGGACGGCUAACUACGUGCCAGCAGCCGCAGUAAAAC